UACAGAGGGGGCAAGCGUUGUUCGGAAUUACUGGGCGUAAAGGGCGCGUAGGCGGCCUGCUAAGUCGAACGUGAAAUCCCUGGGCUCAACCCAGGAACUGCGUCCGAUACUGGUUGGCUUGAAUCCGGGAGAGGGACGUGGAAUUCCAGGUGUAGCGGUGAAAUGCGUAGAUAUCUGGAGGAACACCGGUGGCGAAGGCGACGUCCUGGACCGGUAUUGACGCUGAGGUGCGAAAGCGUGGGGAGCAAACAGG
rnacentral:rRNA from 1 species